UAAUGGUUGUUCAUCAUACAAAAUGCAGGUGUUACAGUUUUAAGCCUGCUAUUAUCUCAGACCAUAACAUAAAAAAGAAACAGAAGAUACAUCCCUACAGCUAAAGGCAGAGAUAGGGUACCUACUAUGCUGUAGCCGUUAUUUCAUUUGUUCCUACUUCUUCCUGUUCUAACUCCUUAACUGCUCUUAUGAGACCCUUUGUGAUUGCAUUUAGAUGCACCCCAUUCUCCUUCAUCUCCUCAAGCAGUUUCUCUGCUGUUGUCCAAUCUAAAGCCUUAAGGCAUAGAGAUUGAAUAAAUUUGUUAUAUUCAUCCGCAUUAGGCUGAACUCCAUACUCCUUCAUAUCUCCCAAUAGUUCCAGAGCCUUGUCAUACUGUUCGAGCUUGAAAUAGCCCCGAAUAAUUGUGUGAAAAGUGACGGGACUUAGACAGGAGUGCUUCUUUUUGGCUUCAUUCAAAAUCUUGCAGGCCUCCUCCAUCUCACCUCCCUUUGUAUAACCACUCAUGAUUACACUAUAAGUGUACACAUCAGGUUUCAAACCUCUACCCUCCAUCACCUUCAAUAGUUUCCUAGCUUCUCCCAUUUCUCCCUUCUUGGAGAGCGCAUUAAUAACUGUAUUAAAGACUGCAUUGCCAGGUGGUGGACCUGCAUCUAUCAUUUUUAAGAGCAAGUUUUUGGCCUCGUCAAUGUCUUCACUGCAAUAGGAACGCAGCUGCUUUUCCCCUGUUACAUCAUUUGCCCUACACAGCCCAUUGAUGACAUGUGAGAAUGACUUAAUGGCAUGCUUCCGCUCUUCUUUGGGGAACUCAUCCAACACCUCCAUUGCAAGUUUAACGCCUUCAUCUUUGCGACAAAGAGAGCUGAUCAACAACUUAAUAGAAGAUACAGGCAGAUUAAUAUUUUUCUCCUUUGCCGACAAAUAAACCAGAUGUGCAUCUCUACACUUAUUUCCUUUACACAGAAAAGAAACAAUCUUUCCAACUUUCUCAGCACCAGGCAACUUAUCAGCAUUAAGCAUCUUCUCACAAACAGUAGAAGCCCAAUCAUAAAUCGAUCGCCUAGAAAGUGCUUCAAUGGUAAAAUAGUAUGUAUCAGCAUUUGGUGCACAUCCUAAAUCCCCAAACUUAUUGAAGAUCUCAAAUGCAGCCUUUCCUUUACCUAAUCUCGACAAUAAAGCAAUCAAUUCAUUAAGAAUCUCAUCACUCAAUAUUCCCUUGUUCUUUUCUCCAAUCUCCUUCACCAAAUCCCAUAAAGCAUAGAUAUUCCUACCUUGAAUGCAGAUUGCAGUAACCAACAAUUCAACUGCCUUACUCGUCACGACAAACUCGGGUUUCUUCAAAACCCACUUGAAAAACGAAAUCAAAUUCUCCCCAGGAACAUAAGGCGUCUCAAGCACUCUAACAACCAACUCCUCAUUCAAAGACAACUCAAUUUCCUCAAGACUAGACUCAAUAGAUCCGUCAAUAAUACCACUACUCUGCAAUAAAGACAACAAAGUCUCCAAUUUCUCCAAAUCUAAAUCCUCAUCUUCCACUACAACCUCAGUAUUUCCUAAAUCAGACCCAUUUUCAACUGCAAGGGUAUCAUCAUUAAGAACAGAGGACCCUUCAACAACAACUCCAAAAACAGAGUCUUUAUCAUUUUCAAAGGGGUGAGAACCUAGAGAUUCGGAUUGUUCAGAUUGGUUCGAUGAGAAAAAUCUUGUUGUUUCACAUAAAUAAGAUUUGGAAGAAACACAAUGAGAAUAAUAACGAAAUGAAGAUUCAAAUGUACUCACUGGAGCUAAAGUUUGAUCUCUGGAUACUUGAUGAAGAAAAGCAGUAAAGGCUCGGUUUUGGAGACCACAAAAGCUUUUCUUUGCUACAACACUACUCAGAACCGCUG
rnacentral:misc_RNA from 1 species